rnacentral:rRNA from 1 species
GACGAACGCUGGCGGCGUGCCUAAUGCAUGCAAGUUGAGCGCUGAAGGUUGGUACUUGUACCAACUGGAUGAGCAGCGAACGGGUGAGUAACGCGUGGGGAAUCUGCCUUUGAGCGGGGGACAACAUUUGGAAACGAAUGCUAAUACCGCAUAAAAACUUUAAACACAAGUUUUAAGUUUGAAAGAUGCAAUUGCAUCACUCAAAGAUGAUCCCGCGUUGUAUUAGCUAGUUGGUGAGGUAAAGGCUCACCAAGGCGAUGAUACAUAGCCGACCUGAGAGGGUGAUCGGCCACAUUGGGACUGGGACACGGCCCAAACUCCUACGGGAGGCAGCAGUAGGGAAUCUUCGGCAAUGGACGAAAGUCUGACCGAGCAACGCCGCGUGAGUGAAGAAGGUUUUCGGAUCGUAAAACUCUGUUGGUAGAGAAGAACGUUGGUGAGAGUGGAAAGCUCAUCAAGUGACGGUAACUACCCAGAAAGGGACGGCUAACUACGUG